AUUCUGCCCAUGCGGGGAAGGAUGAGAAGCUUGACCAAGGUUCGACUCGAGCGCCAGCGAGAGAGCGUUGCCGCCAGGC
rnacentral:sRNA from 1 species